CAUAGUGUUAUGAACUGCACCUGGUGUUGUCUUCAACAUUGUUACAAACAGCACCUGGUGUUGUCUUCAACAUUGUUACAAACAGCACCUGGUGUUGUCUUCAACAUUGUUACAAACAACACCUGGUGUUGUCUUCAACAUAGUGUUAUGAACUGCACCUGGUGUUGUCUUCAACAUAGUGUUAUGAACUGCACCUGGUGUUGUCUUCAACAUAGUGUUAUGAACUGCACCUGGUGUUGUCUUCAACAUUGUUACAAACAGCACCUGGUGUUGUCUUCAACAUAGUGUUACAAACAAUGUGUGGUGUUGUCUUCAACACUGUGUUAUGAACUACAACUGGUGUUGUCUUCAACAUUGUGUUACAAACAACACAACACCUGAUGUUGUCUUGAACAUUGGUUCAUUGUGUUAUAAAAAAUUGCACUAGUGAUAUUUUAAAAUUUAGUAUGAUGUUCAUAAAUGUGCCCAUGUUUUAUUUUUCUGAUAUUUAUUAUUAAAUAUAGAAGAAUUUAGACUGAAAUUUGUCUUCACAUCAUUAGUAAACAUUUCUGCAUAUAACAUGGAAGCCAUGUUAGGAGUGUACCAUGAUACAUUAAGACUCAGUACAGCCUCUCCUCACAUAACGACGGAGUGUAAGUAUAUUUUUGGGGGUCUGAAAUGGACUAAUCUAGUUUACAUUAUUCCUUACGGGAACAAAUUUGUUCGGUAACGGCACUCGAACAGCCUUCUGGAACGAAUUAAGGCUGAAAUUCGAGGUACCACUGUAUUUAGGUACAAAUACUGGCCAAAGAGCCUGUCGUAAGUCCGAGUCAUCAUUAAACGAGUACUUCGCUACGUGAGGAGAGGCUGUACAUGGUUGAGUGUGUGGUACAGUGGCACACACUUAUUAAAUAUAAUUUUAGCUUAACCACAGUCUCUUCACUAUAGAUAAAGUACUCAAGUUUUAUUGAAGUAUCACUCCACAAGUAUGUAAAUAAUAUAUCUCUUGAGUUAAUUGUGUCUGCUUUGUAUAGUUAAAACUUGCAAUAGAUGGAUGGUGUUUUUGAGUACAUGUAUUUCAUUAAUGAAUUUUUGAGUUAAUAUUUGUAUUAUGAUAAUGAGACUAUAGUUGUUUGUAGUAAUAUUGAAUAUAUCUUGUUUCCAUUUUUACUGUUUGAUAGUUAAGAAACCUACUUACCACUUAGAGAGUGAUAAUAUUUCACAUGUUGUACUCGUAAAUGUAUUGUAAUAAGUAAGUUAAUGCUAAAUAUUACAAAUGACCAUUAAAUUUGGUCAUUUCAGGAGUAGGAGAGAAACAGGCAGGCAGGCAGAGUGAGUAUAUGUUAGCCGGAGUUGAUGGUGGUGUGUGCUGCACUCGCCUCACUCUGAGUGCCACUGCUACACCACCACCACUGCAACUUGUGCUGCCUGAAGCACUGGUUGCAAGUCAUUACUUCACCGCUGGUGUAGCUUCCUUCUAGUGUUCAUCACUUAAUUAACAUUAUUUUAUGUACAAGGUUGAGACAUCAUACUACUGCUGCUGAAUAUUCCAAUUUUGGUCUAAUGUCUUGUGUGAGCAGCUUUCUUAGUAUUUCCCCAUCCAUGUAUCUAAAUGCUGUUUAAAAGUUUAUGAAUGUUACAUAGAAUAUUACUGUUUGUUUCAUUUAUUUAAUUUACUGGUAAUACUCUUAUUAAUGUUGACUCCUAGCUCCCUAACUUUCUCUAAUGCUUUCAGUAUUUAUUACAUAAUUUAUACUCUUUGUGACCUUUUAUUUAUCUUUAUUUCAUUUUUAUUACAACCAGUUUUUCACAUUAAAUUUCAUCAGGCAUUGCUUAUUACACUUGCUGAAUGUGUGUUGCUCUUCCUGUAAGAAUGCAGUGAUUUUUAUAAAUUAUCUUACAUAUGAUUUGUGCAUCAUCUGUGGGCAUGUUCACGUUGUUAAUUACUUUCCUGGCAGCAAGUCAUUUAUGUAUAUUACACACAUUAUCAGAGAGGUCACAGAUCCCUGUGGCACUCUGAUGCUGAUGUUACCACAGGACCAUAUUUUAACUUAUUGUUUAAACUUUCUUUUCCUAUCAUUGACCGCAGUAGUUGCCCCUUUUAUAUCUCCUAUGUUUUGCACCUCCUGUGCUAGUCUUUCAUGAGGAGCCUUAAUGAGAGCAUUCUUAAAAUCCAAAUAAAUGCAAUCCACCCAUCCAUAUUUUUAAAUAAUUUCUCUAACUCUGUCAUAGUGGCUAAAUAUAGUGAAUACACACGAGUUUGCUGAUUGCAAACCAACCUGUUUGCUAGUUAGCAUUUCUUUGCUCUAAACUUGAGUGUAUGUUUGUGUGUGAAAACAUACGUAUAUAUGUGCACAUGUGCAAGCGAGAGUUUGUACCACUUUAAAACCUUUUAAUCCCUUUUAUGAACUUGAGGUAAUUUUCAGAGAGUGAACUCAGAACACUUUUAAAAAGUGACUAACUGAAAAUUGCCCAAACUCGAUGGAAGAGUGUGGCAUAGUAGUCUUUAUAGUGAUUAUUUUGUAUACCUGAAGUUAGCUGCUCUUGUCAUUUUUUGCAUAUGCAAACUCUAGGACUUAAUGUGUAAACUCUUGGACUUGGUGUGCAAGCUCUUUCUGAUACAGUGUGCUAACACUCUUGGACUCAGUGUGUGAGCUCUUUCUGAUACAGUGUGCUAACUCUCUCUCUGAUACAGUGUGCUAACUCUCUCUCUGAUACAGUGUGCUAACUCUCUCUCUGAUACAGUGUGCUAACUCUCUGAUACAGUAUGCUAACUCUCUUUGGCACAGUGUGCUAACUCUCUUCGACUUAAUGUGAGAGCUCUUCCUGAUACAGUGUGUGUGCUCUUUCUGAUACAGUGUGCUAACUUUCUCUUUGAUACAGUGUGCUCUCUCUCUCUCUGAUACAGUGUGCUAACUCUCUGAUUAAGUGUGCUAACUCUUUGACACAGUGUGCUAGCUCUUUUUGACACAGUUUGCUAACUCUUUCAUACAGUGUCCUAACUUUCUCUUUCAUACACUGGCUAACUCUGUUGAACACAGUGUGCUAACUCUCGUACAGUGUGCUAGCUCUCUCGUACAGUGUGCUAACUCUGUCGGACUCAGUGUACUAGCUGUCUUGGACUCAGUGUAUUAAUUCUCUUCUACUCAUUAUGCUAGCACUGUUUGACUCAUUAUUGUAUAUGCGAGCCCACUUGGACUCAUUAUGCAAGCACUUUUGGACUCAUUAUUGUAUAUACUAGCCCUUUUGGUCUCAUUGUAUAUACUAGCCCUCUUGGACUCAUGCUAGUCCUCUUGUACUCAUUAAUAUAUGUGCUAGUCCUCUUGUACUCAUUAUUGUAUAUGCUAGUUCUCUUGGACUCAUGCUAGCUCUCUUGAACUGUAUGCUAGCUCUCUUGAAUUGUAUGAUAGCUCUCUUGAACUAUAUGCUAACCCUCUUGGACUCUUGCUAGCAUUCUUGAACUAUAUACUAGCCCUCUUGGACUCUUGCUAGCCCUCUUAAACUACAUGCUAGCCCUCUUGAACUCUUGCUAGCCCUCUUGAACUAUAUGCUAGCCCUCUUGGUCUCUUGCUGGCCCUCUUGGCUCUUGCUAGCCCUCUUAAACUAUUUGCUAGCCCUCUUGAACUAUAUGCCAGCCCUCUUGGACUCUUGCUAGCUCUCUUGGACUCUUGCUAGCCCUCUUGAACUAUAUGCUAGCCCUCUUGAACUAUAUGCUAGCCCUCUUGAUCUCUUGCUAGACCUCUUGGAUUCAUGUUUGCACUGAACAACCCUUCAUGUGAAUCUUGUGUUGUAGGUUGUAAGUAACAUUCCAAAGAAUAAUUUUAAUUAAAAACUAGGUUAUGUAUUCAGCUUUUCACUAAUGUCACAUUUUGUUCUCAGCUAAGGGAAGUAAAUUUUGUUUUUAGUUUUAAAUGUUACAUAAUAGUAAUAAGAGAUUCAUUAUUUAUAAUGUGAAGUUGCGUUAGUAUGUGCCAUUGGUGAAAGAGGGCAGAAAUAAUGCUUAGGCUGUCUGUAUGGCUUGUUAUAGUCUCAUGUUGAGGCUGAGAAUAUGUGCAGUAAGGUCAUCAGUGUGGCUGAACAAACUUGUGCUGGAAUGUAGACUAGUUUGUGUACUUGCCUUCACUCUUCCUAAUAUAAUGCUGGGCUUAGCUUGGGUUGCAAGUUAGAUCUGAGAAAGAGUUUAGUACUAAGGAGUUGAACACUACCUGCUGCAUAAUUAUGAUUCAUUGUUAUUACAGUUUAUGAUAAUAGUGAAGAGUUUAUAAAUUUUAAAAAUAAAUGGGCUUUGAUUAUUUUUUGUAGAUACAAAUAUGCAUGAGAUAUAUAUAGAUAUUGUUGAACAUGCCAAAUAUAGCAUUUAUAAACAACAUCUAAUGUAAGUUUAGUGCAGAGUUAUCUACAGCAUUUUAAUCAUAAGAUCUGAAAAAUUUAAGUAAAUUAUUAAAUGACUAGCGAAUAUCUACUCAUAUAUUUGCAACAAAGUUGUCAUGUUUGUUUAAUACGUGAGAUUGUAGAAGUGAAAUUUUAGUUUGACAUAUGUUACAUCACAAGGAAGUGUUUGUGUCAUGUAUACAAGGAAUUGUUUGUGUCAUGUAUACAAGGAAUUGUUUGUGUCAUGUAUACAAGGAAGUGUUUGUGUCAUGUAUACAAGGAAUUGUUUGUGUCAUGUAUACAAGGAAGUGUUUGUGUCAUGUAUACAAGGAAUUGUUUGUGUCAUGUAUACAAGGAAGUGUUUGUGUCAUGUAUACAAGGAAGUGUUUGUGUCAUGUAUACAAGGAAGUGUUUGUGUCAUGUAUACAAGGAAGUGUUUGUCAUGGAUACACAACAAUUCUACAAAUUGUUGAAAAUCGUAUAAAAUAUUGACAAGUUGAAGAUUAAGAUACAUGUGCAACACUUGGGUAUCUUUAUUGAUGAAAUGUUUCACCUGCACAGUAGACAUCUUCAGUAAAAUACAGAGAGGGCAGUAGUAAUGAAAUAAAGAUGAUGUAAUCAGUGAGUCCCUCAGCCUGGAGAAGAGUUCAGCUCCAUGGAACUGUUGUACAUGUCUCUUAAUUUUUAACUAGAAUUCUUCUGAGCUCAUUAUAUCCAAUAUUGUCUGUGUUAAUAAAAUUAUGUAGUUACAUCAUCACUGUAUCUUACACAAUAUGAUUUUGAUAUUUUUUAAUGUAUUAUGAUACAGAAAAGCUACAACUUAAUAUAUUAUUUUUUAUAAAGAAUUAAAUGCAUUUGUCAGCAUUUAUUUAGAGUUUUACUUAAAUAGCUUUUGAUUUAUAUCAAAUUUAUUUAGAUUAACCCUUAAACUGUCCAAACGUAGAUCUGCGUUCGCUUACAUAGCGCUCUGAACGUAGAUCUACAUUUUUUUUGCAUUCUUAUGGAGAAAAUCAAGGUCAGAGUGGUAUGCGUGCAAGCGUAAAUCUAUGUUUGGACAGUUUAAGGGUUAAAGACAACAGGUAUUUUUUUAAUUAUUUUUUUAGCUGAACUUAGAGCUGAGGAGGAAAAAUCUUAAGUGGUUCAUAAUAAUUAUUUUGUAAAGUUAGGUUAAAAAUUCUCCAAAUAUCUUAGACAAUAUUACUAUGUGAAUUCCUUUAGCAAUUACUAUAAUAUUUGAAUAUUUAUUACAUCAGUGUAUAAACAAAACAUCUUAUAUAAACCACUUAAUUUAAGUGCUCAUUGAGUCAGCUGCAUUCAGUAAAGUCUGUAAUUGUGCACAGCUACAAGCAACUGAAUAAACCCUUAGCAAAUUA